rnacentral:other from 1 species
UACAAUGGUGCGUGACUUUUUGAAGUAUGGGCAGUCGCCCAAUCACAUUGAUAUUAGGAAAAGAUAAUGGCAACAGGUACAGUAAAGUGGUUCAACGACGCAAAAGGUUUUGGUUUCGUCACUCCUGAUGAACCCGGCGACGAUUUGUUCGUGCACUUCUCCGCGAUUCAGUCGAGUGGCUUUAAAACGCUAGCCGAAAACCAGAAAGUCUCGUUUGACGUGACCACUGGCCCUAAGGGCAAGCAAGCGACUAACAUCCAGCCUAUCUAGGUUGUUUGGAACACGGAAUUUAAAAACCCCGGCUUGCCGGGGUUUUUUUG